UUCUUAGAUUUUCAUAAUAAGAUUGAAACAUACGUCAAAAUGACGUGAAAAUAUACAAAAUAAAACAGCAAAAAAGAUUUAAAAAAUCUCACUGAGGGUUGGGUUAGGAUUCUGGCGCGGCGACGCCAUCGUGUUUCGUUACCUGGUCCUCCUUCUCCGGCAGCUCUUCCUCUCGGUCAGGCCGUUUUUGGCUAGUUCGUUGUGAAAAUAUGUUUAAAUCAUGGUUAAGAGGUAUUUCUCAGUGAAAAGAAGAGAAAAACAUAAGCUUACUAGCGGUUUCGAUCUCCCAAUAUGGCGGCUCAGCCG
rnacentral:lncRNA from 1 species